GGAGCUCAUUCUCAGGCUGGAGGAAGAAAAGAACAACAGAACACUCUGCUUUUGGAAAGAAUGCUUUUCAAACAAGGCGUUUUAAAGAUAAAUGGUAAAACUGAACUGGAAAUCCAUCUGGCCGGCUGCCUGCUCUAAUGAAUAACCCCACUUUGGCUCGUGCAAUGUAAGCAGAAAGUUCUCUCCCGGCCUCUUUCGUCCGUCAUGAAUCUACAAGACAGCCAACAUAAUAUCUGGGCGACAACAGUGCGCUAACAGCGCAGUGACUUCCAUUUUCUUUGCUUUCUAUUGAUUUUCACUUAAUAACUGGCGAAAUACUAAACGUCCGCCCUGAGUACCUAAUAAAUCCUGCC
rnacentral:lncRNA from 1 species